GCGCCGUGUCUACUCCUCCGUCUCCGUCUGUGGUGCUGGAGGAGACGUGUGGUCUCGUACGCUAGGGCGGAGGGAACGAUCAAGGGGAAGAAGGUGACUUUAUCUUGUCUUUCCCAGUCUCCAAACAACUUAGCAUAACUCACAUGCCCCCACACACCACUGCCAGCCUGAAAGUCGGAGGACCUGAGCCCUAGGGCCAUGCCCCAGGACUACCUGACAUGAUGACUCCUUGCUGUCCCCAGUCCACCUGACCGUGCUGCUGCUCCAGUUUCAACUGUUCUACCUUAUUAUUAUUCGCCCAUGCUGGUCAUUUAUGAACAUUUGAACAUCUUGGCCAUGUUCUGUUAUAAUCUCCACCCGGCACAGCCAGAAGAGGACUGGCCACCCC
ensembl:lncRNA